rnacentral:lncRNA from 1 species
CACGUAGGAUGUUUGUGCUGGAGCAACGGAGGUGACAACUGCAGGUGAAGCAGGUGAUUGUGUUUCUAUCUUCGGCAAAGAGCCUCUGGAGCCUGACUUUCUCUGAGCCAGACAAACGAACACAGAGGGAGAUAGUCCUGACAAAACUAACAGCCCUCUUCAUCGUAGCAGGGAAUCUCUUUAUUUAUUUUUAUUGGCAGAGGGUACUUCCUGUAUUAUUAUGUU